GAUGAACGCUGGCGGCGUGCCUAAUACAUGCCAGUCGAGCGAACAGACGAGGAGCUUGCUCCUCUGACGUUAGCGGCGGACGGGUGAGUAACACGUGGAUCACCUACCUCUAAGACUGGGAUAACUUCGGGAAACCGGAGCUAAUACCGGCUCAUAUAUUGUACCGCAUGGUUCAAUAGUGAAAGACGGUUUUGCUGUCACUUAUAGAUGGAUCCGCGCCGCAUUAGCUAGUUGGUAAGGUAACGGCUUACCAAGGCAACGAUGCGUAGCCGACCUGAGAGGAUGAUCGGCCACACUGGAACUGAGACACGGUCCAGACUCCUACGGGAGGCAGCAGUAGGGAAUCUUCCGCAAUGGGCGAAAGCCUGACGGAGCAACGCCGCGUGAGUGAUGAAGGUCUUCGGAUCGUAAAACUCUGUUAUUAGGGAAGAACAAAUGUGUAAGUAACUAUGCACGUCUUGACGGUACCUAAUCAGAAAGCCACGGCUAACUACGUG
rnacentral:rRNA from 1 species